GCGGGCAUCGCCAAGUGGUAAGGCAUCAGCUUCCCAAGCUGACACUCGCGGGU
rnacentral:tRNA from 1 species